GACGAACGCUGGCGGCGUGCCUAAUACAUGCAAGUCGAACGAGAGCGCCCGGUGCUUGCACUGGUCAAUCUAGUGGCGAACGGGUGAGUAACACGUGGGUAACCUGCUCAUCAGAGGGGGAUAACAUCCGGAAACGGAUGCUAAAACCGCAUAGGUCUUCGAGCCGCAUGGCUUGAAGAGGAAAAGAGGCGCAAGCUUCUGCUGAUGGAUGGACCCGCGGUGCAUUAGCUAGUUGGUGAGGUAACGGCUCACCAAGGCCGUGAUGCAUAGCCGACCUGAGAGGGUGAUCGGCCACAUGGGGACUGAGACACGGCCCAAACUCCUACGGGAGGCAGCAGUAGGGAAUCUUCCGCAAUGGACGCAAGUCUGACGGAGCAACGCCGCGUGAGUGAAGAAGGUUUUCGGAUCGUAAAACUCUGUUGUUAGAGAAGAACAAGUGCUAGAGUAACUGUUAGCGCCUUGACGGUAUCUAACCAGAAAGCCACGGCUAACUACGUG
rnacentral:rRNA from 1 species